rnacentral:pre_miRNA from 1 species
UUUGACUCUUCGUUUUAUUUGAAAUUUUUUGUGAUUAAUAUUUUUAUUGUUACUAGAUGGUAAAAUAUAAAUAGUACUCUAUGUGUGUCUAAUUUUUUUAGGCUUUUUUAAUAAAAAUUUCAAAUAAGAUGAAUGGUCAAA